ACAAUGUUUAUUGGUUAAUAUUUUUUUUGAAAAUACAAAAAUAAAAUUUUAUGUGAAGUUAGCCAGAAAGAUAUUAUUUUUAUUUCAAUCUUAGUUCACUCGAUGCACAAUCGUUUACUGGUCACAGAAAAACUAAUUAAAACAUUUGUUGGUUCAUAUUUGCCUUGAAAAACGAAAAAAACUAAUGCAAUAAUAGUGGGAAAGGUUGGGUAAAACUUAAGAUUGACUUUAAGAUACACACGCGCAUAUCCCACCAACCGGUGGGAUCUUGCACCUCUCGGAAAACAGGUUAUUCCAUGCAUCGCCUGCCAAGAAAUAAUGAAAGAAAGUAACAAUGGAUUGAACAAUGGAAAUAUAAAAAGAAGUAAUAUAGAUCUUUCGAAAGACUGGUUUGUAUGCGAAAUAUAUUUUUCGCCUGAAAUGUGGGAAAAACCACGAAUAGAUGGGAAAAAAAGUUGAAAAGUAAUGAAGUACCCACAAUUUUUUAACAUAAAAUAAAAAAAAACAUGACAUUACUUACAUUACAUGACAAUGGAAUGGAUUCUGAUUCUUCCAAUAACAAAGUACAUUAUAUCAGCAACUACACUCGAAGAAUCAUCAUGUGUUUCGUUGAUAAGCACCCAAAAUAAAGAAAUAGAAAAGCUGUUUCUCAAUAUUACAAGUUUUGAAGAGGCUGCAGUAAAACUCCAAAAUGCAUUACUACAAGCUGUAUAAGCGAAAGAAGAAGCGAAGAAAACGAGGAAAAAUAGAAAUUAGACAAGCGAAACUGAAACUUAAGGAAGCAAAUAUGAUGAUUUUUAACAAGUCAAUAUACAAACAAUAUUUAAAGAGCAUGUAAGAAGACUUAUAUAUCAAAACAAGAAAUUAGCACAACAAAUACAUAUUUUGGAAGUAAACAAGAAUUUCCGCAAAAUAUUUAACGAUCAAAUUGUAGCUCUUAACAGACAAUAUGCACGAAGUUGCAAAUGUUCUAAUAAUAUAAAAGCUCUUUGAUUGAAAUUGUCAUGUGGUAGCAUUAUAAGAUUAUAAAGAACUAUUGAAUCAGAACAUUCCUUUACCAUCAGAGCGUACUCUUAGAAAAAAACUUGAGAAUAUUAAUUUCAAACCCGGUGUUUGUGACCAAAUAUUUGAUGUACUACAACAUUAAGUUUCGCAAUUUACUGAUGAUCGAGAAAAAGAUUGCCUGCUAGCCAUCGACAAAAUGAGCAUUACUGCAGGAGAACAAAUUGAUCAGUCUAUGAAGUGUUUUUUUGGCUUGUCAACUCUGCCUGAUAAAUUUGGUACAAUAUAAACUUUUAUACUUUUUU